GACGAACGCUGGCGGCGUGCUUAAUACAUGCAAGUCGAACGGUGAUGCUCCAGCUUGCUGGAGUGGAUCAGUGGCGAACGGGUGAGUAACACGUGAGCAACCUGCCCCAGACUCUGGAAUAAGCGCUGGAAACGGCGUCUAAUACUGGAUACGAAACUGGCCCGCAUGGGCAUGGUUUGGAAAGUUUUUCGGUUUGGGAUGGGCUCGCGGCCUAUCAGCUUGUUGGUGAGGUAAUGGCUCACCAAGGCGACGACGGGUAGCCGGCCUGAGAGGGCGACCGGCCACACUGGGACUGAGACACAGCCCAGACUCCUACGGGAGGCAGCAGUGGGGAAUAUUGCACAAUGGGCGAAAGCCUGAUGCAGCGACGCCGCGUGAGGGAUGACGGCCUUCGGGUUGUAAACCUCUUUCAGCAGGGAAGAAGCGAAAGUGACGGUACCUGCAGAAGAAGCACCGGCUAACUACGUG
rnacentral:rRNA from 1 species